rnacentral:misc_RNA from 1 species
GCUGGAUGGAGGUUCAUUAUCCCACAACUUUACAGGCGAUAUCCAAAUGCUGAUAUGAAUCUGAAUGUUUCCAUUUAUUCUCCACCCCAUCUGAUAAUUAAAGAACAUCAGAUUGAUCUGACGGUUCAUGCAGAUGUCAUUAUUAAUGUUUUGAAUUCAGGUGAAGUGACACCAGUUGCAUGCUUUUCAAUGGCAGUCAGUGGCUCAGCUUCUCCAUGGAUUUCCAACAAUAAUCUUGGAGGAAGUAUUGGAUUAGAUGAACUCUCUUUAUCUUUGAAAUGGAGUAAAAUUGGCAAUUUGCAUGUGAAUCUAGUCCGGGCACUGAUUUCAACUGCACUGAGGACUGUGAUCCUGCCAUACAUAAAUUUAAAACUUAGUAGAGGAUAUCAGCUGCCCACAUUUCACGGCUACAUGCUUCAAAAUGCUAAUAUCUUGUGCAGUGACUCAUGGAUUAAGAUUUCCAGUGACGUUGCGUCUGUCAAUCAAUUAUUUAUAAGUUAGUUCCUACAUCACAUGGUUGUGAGCUAUGUUGCUUGGACCCUCUAAAAUGCUGCUACUCUCGUGUCAAAUCCUCCAAAAUUGGAUAGCUUUUGGAGGAUCCAAGACACACCUGACAGUAUGUUUGAAGGGUCUGAUCAACGUAAGUUGUGAGUUCCUCAUUCCCACUGCACCAGACGCUUUUACUGAAAUGUAGCUUUUGGAGAAUCCGACAGACAAAAAUGUAUACUAGGUGUAGAAUGUGUCUCUUUCUUCUUUUUUAUUCUUGUUGUAAUUGCUAUAUGUAUGUUGCUCAUAUAGCUAUUGUAAAUCCUUCUCUCUUAUCUAUUUAUA